rnacentral:rRNA from 1 species
CGCAUCUGUGCAUGCAGCAUAUCAAUAAGCGGAGGAAAAGAAACUAACAAGGAUUCCCCUAGUAACGGCGAGUGAAGCGGGAAGAGCUCAAAUUUGAAAUCUUAAAGGGUUUCCCUUUACGAAUUGUAGUUUAAAGAAGUGUUUUCUGUUGAGGUUUUGGUAAAAGUUCUUUGGAAUAGGACAUCAUAGAGGGUGAGAAUCCCGUAUUUGACCUUUACUUUCAACUUUGUGAUACACUUUCAAAGAGUCGGAUUGUUUGGGAAUGCAGUCCAAAAUGGGUGGUAAAUUUCAUCUAAAGCUAAAUAUUGGCGAGAGACCGAUAGCGAACAAGUACCGUGAGGGAAAGAUGAAAAGAACUUUGAAAAGAGAGUUAAACAGUACGUGAAAUUGUCAAAAGGGAAGCGUUUGACACCAGUGUUGUUUUUCUGAAAAUCGAAUUAAAGAACUGUUUAUGCUAAGUUGUUUAGACUUUAUCAGCUAACUGUUUAGUUUUGAGCUUUUCUUUAAUGCACUUUUCAGUUAACAAGUCAACAUCAAUUUCUUUUGCUGUAAAAAAGCUUGAGGAAGGUGGCUUGAGAUUCGUCUUAAGUGUUUAUAGCCUCUUGCCUAUGCAGUCGGAGAGAUUGAGGUCUGCAGCGUAGAUCCUUCGGGGCUAAAUGCAUUUGUGCUAAGUUAUAACAUUUCAUAGACAACUUGUUGACUAUGAUUUGUCUUGUAGCUUACUCGCUUAUGUUAUUUUACCUACGCUUAGGAUGUUGACAGCAGUAUAGACUGU